CCUACGGGGGGCUGCAGUGAGGAAUAUUGGUCAAUGGCCGGAAGGCUGAACCAGCCAUGCCGCGUGAAGGUCAGUGCCCUAUGGGCGUUAAACUUCUUUUGUGCGGGAGCAAUAAUGGUCACGUGUGGCCAGACGAGAGUACCGUACGAAUAAGCAUCGGCUAACUCCGUGCCAGCAGCCGCGGUAAUACGGGGGAUGCAAGCGUUAUCCGGAUUUAUUGGGUUUAAAGGGUGCGUAGGCUGUGAGGUAAGUCAGCGGUGAAAUGCCCCCGCUCAACGGGGUGAAGUGCCAUUGAUACUGCCUGGCUGGAAUGCGGAUGCCGUGGGAGGAAUGUGUGGUGUAGCGGUGAAAUGCAUAGAUAUCACACAGAACACCGAGUGCGAAGGCAUCUCACGAAUCCGCGAUUGACGCUGAUGCACGAAAGCGUGGGUAUCAAACAGGAUUAGAUACCCGAGUAGUC
rnacentral:rRNA from 1 species